rfam:Vigna radiata var. radiata cultivar VC1973A chromosome 1, whole genome shotgun sequence
AGCAAAACGAUGAAGUCAAAACUUGUCUGAUACUGGCAUGAGGAUAUAUUGUUUCAUAAGGUCUUCAAAGUUCUCUAAUUUCU